GUCUUGUUCACUGUUCAUGGUUGGGUUCCCAGUGCCUAGACCAGUGCGGUGCCCAAUACACGUUUGCUGCACGAAAGAGCAUUGAGCACGUGCCUGGUGGUGGCGAAACACGGUCUGUCAUCCUCUUGGUCGCCCCAGCCACUCAUGAGCUAGGCGUUCUGCACAUUUUUUGGAUGAGGAAAUAGAGCCCCAGAGAACUUAAGGGCCUGGCUCCGGGUCACUGAGAAGUGGCAGAGCCUGGUGGUCAAGUUUGUCUGAUUCCAAAGCUCGCACCGUUAGACUCUGGGCCCCAAAUGAGGGUGCUGCACCCAGCAAGGCUCACAGACUGGCCCGAAGUCACCCAGCCAGCUUCUGCUCAGGUCGGUGGCUUCAUUCUUCACACCGCUUUCCGCUGGGUCCCCCGAGGGCUUAGGCGUGGAGCAGGUCUUAUGUUCAAUACUUUCAUUCUGCCUUUUAUUAAGCCAGGUAAGGGCUCUGCAGACUUCAUAACUGUCCACAGUUCAGCUUCGCCCUUUUUUUCCCCCUUUGCAGCUUGUAAAAUGAACACACUCCUUCAGCAGCUGUGGCGUCAUUAAUUCUCUGGCCCCAUCCUUGGUGAGGCCUCGGGCCCGAGGUCGGGCUCCUCUGACGGCCCUGGCAGGAGGCUUUUCAAGCUCCUAAUCCACUUGGCAGUUGUUUGAACUCUCAGAAAUUAUGCCUUCUCAUCUCGUCCUAAUGAACUCGUAAGCCCGGUUAACGCCAGAGGAGACAGUGCUUGUUCUUUCCGGCUGUGUCCGAGACAGAAGCUCAAGCCUUCCGAACACUCCUUUCCCUUUCUCUUCUGGGCCUCAGUUUCCCCGCCUGUGCAGUGGAGGCUCGGAGUCUCUGGCAUGGAAGGACUCUUCCAACUCAGACAUUCCAGAACAGGGACAGUGCCAUCCCCUACAAAUAGAAGCUUCAGUGGCGCCCCGCUCCUCUCGGCCUCCCGCCUUUCCUCCUUGGGAAGGCAGGCGCUGCGGCAGCCAGCAAGAAGCCCCACUGGAUGACAGCCGAGCCCAAGCAUCCCUCGGAGCUGUCACCGAGGAAAUCACACACCAGCGCCUGAAAUUCAAAUUAGAGUUUUGCUGAAGCUGCUAAAACUCAUCAAAUACUAUCUUUGAAGUCCGCUAGCAAGCUGGUCAUUGCUCUUAAAAGAGUCCCUGUUGGAAAUGAGAUGGUAGAAGGAGGGUUCAGGCAGGGCAUCUAUCCUGGGGCCUGGGAGUGGGGGCCCCUCCUCCCAACCACCCUCCCAGACAUGCCCAGCACUGAUGGUUACUAUCUGGGGGCUCCCUCACAGCAGGCUCUCUGGGUCAGCCCCCACCCUUGCCAGACCAAGAUCCCACCGCCGCACAGAGAAAGGAGCCCUGGGGCAGAGGUCUGACUGUGGGCUCUGGGGUCAAACACCAGCUUCCAGGUCCCCAUCUCUCUGCUGCUGCCUAGCCGUGUGACCCAGGGCAACUGACCUCAUCCUUCUAGGCCUCCUCUGCAAAGCGGGAUAUGAGUAUUUAUCCCUAGGGUGUAGUAAGGUAUUGCAUGAAAAGCACCCAGCACAUCCUUGCUGCUCAAUAAAUGAC
rnacentral:lncRNA from 1 species